rnacentral:rRNA from 1 species
AUUGAACGCUGGCGGUAUGCUUAACACAUGCAAGUCGAACGGUAGCAGGCCUUCGGGCGCUGACGAGUGGCGGACGGGUGAGUAACGCGUAGGGAAUCUGCCUCAUAGUGGGGGACAACGUGGGGAAACUCACGCUAAUACCGCAUACGCCCUACGGGGGAAAGCGGGGGAUCUUCGGACCUCGCGCUAUGAGAUGAGCCUGCGUUAGAUUAGCUAGUUGGUAGGGUAAAGGCCUACCAAGGCGACGAUCUAUAGCUGGUCUGAGAGGACGAUCAGCCACACUGGGACUGAGACACGGCCCAGACUCCUACGGGAGGCAGCAGUGGGGAAUAUUGGACAAUGGGCGCAAGCCUGAUCCAGCAAUACCGCGUGUGUGAAGAAGGCCUUAGGGUUGUAAAGCACUUCAAUUGGGAGGAAAACCUGUCGGUCAAUACCCGGCAGCUUGACAUUACCUUUAGAAGAAGCACCGGCUAACUCCGUGCCAGCAGCCGCGGU